AAAAGUGAGAGAUAAGAGUCUAGAAGGCUGGGAGAAGAUGAUGCAUAAGGUAUCAAGACGUUUGAUGAACAUGCUCCUUGAGCCUUGCUAUCUGUCAAGCCGUGGUUUCAGUUGUUCAAUCAACAAGGUUGCUAAUGAUCCAUGAUCAAUUCGUUUUGGAAUCUGAUUUGAGAUUGACUUGGUUGCUUUGCUUUGUGGUAGCCGGCUUUAGCGAACAUCCCGGAGUUUGUCAAGAUAGUCGAAGUGGGUCCGAGGGAUGGACUCCAGAAUGAGAAGCAGAUUGUUCCAACUCAUGUUAAGGUUAGGUUGAUACAGAUGCUGGUUUCGUCUGGCCUCACUGUUGUUGAGGCUACCAGCUUUGUCUCACCCAAAUGGGUUCCACAGGUAAACCACACAUUAGCUCUUUUUUCUCUAUCUGCAGAGAGGGAUAUGCAGGAGUGAUAUCACAUAAUGGGAGCUAAUUAUUCAACAGAAUACUAGUCUCUGGAGAUUUAUAUUCAAGAAAUUUUGUUACAUCUGGUUCAAGACAUCUAGUCGAUUGAUUUUCUACAUUAAUCAUGGGUUGUGGCGGAAUCUACUUUUCUUCUAUUAUUUUAGUGUUCAUGGAAAUUUAUCGAGCGAUAGCCUGUCUGCUGUUGCUCUUGGUUGAGAGCAAUGUCCUGCUGUUGAUCGAUUUUGAGCUUUACAAUUUACUACUUUAGUUUUAGUGGCUGUUUUAGGUUAGAUUCGCUGAUUAAGUUAGCUCGUACAAGAAUUCAUUUUUGUCUUGUUUCUCUGUUCUCAUCUACUUAUACUUGUUCUCCUUCAAAUUAUACAAAUUUCAGUUCCCAACGGAAGUUUUGAGUAUCAUUUGUGUUGUUUAAAGUCUGAGUUGUUCCACUUAAUUUCUGUUUUUUUUCUUCCCAGCUCUUUUGUUUCUUUAUUUCAUGGUUUUAGCUUCUUUUUUUGCACUUCCCUUAUAUUUAUCUUCUUUGUGUCCUUGAUACCAAUACAGGUUUUAUUUAAUCAACUUUUUAGUAUCUUUGAAUUAAGUUUCUCCACUAGCCAACUUUUUCGUAGUUUGGUUUUCUUACGUGCACAAGGCUUAUGGUUGGGGAAUCAAUAUUCUUUAGUGUCUUGUGGAUCUUGAAAUUUCAGCUGGCAGAUGCAAAGGAUGUAAUGGAGGCCAUUCGAAAUAUGGGAGGUGCUAGAUUUCCCGUUUUAACCCCCAAUCUCAAACUCUCUUGUAGGGUUUUGAGGCUGCUGUCGAUGCUGGUGCAAAAGAAGUUGCCAUCUUUGCCUCAGCUUCUGAGUCUUUUUCAAAAUCAAAUAUAAACUGCAGCAUUGAAGACAGUCUCAGACGUUACCGUGAUGUUGCAAGUGCUGCCAGAAAGCUUUCUAUUCCUGUUCGUGGAUAUAUAUCAUGUGUUGUGGGCUGUCCAACGGAAGGAGCUGUUCCCCCAUCUCAAGU